AUGGUCAGCGCCGCCUGGCGGCGAAGCGCGGGUGCGCAUCACGUGAACACAGCAGGCAUCGCGCAAGCGGGGCCCUGGUUGGGGAGGCGGGCCGGGGAGAUGCCCUCCGCGUGCCGCACACAUUUGGGCACAGCCCUGAAAGCCAGCCCUUUUGGAGGUGCUUCUCAUGCAAAAGGAAUCGUCCUGGAAAAAGUAGGAGUUGAAGCCAAACAGCCAAAUUCUGCCAUUAGGAAGUGUGUCAGGGUCCAGCUGAUCAAAAAUGGCAAGAAAAUCACAGCCUCUGUACCCAACGACGUUUGCUUGAACUUUAUUGAGGAAAACGAUGAAGUUCUGGUUGCUAGAUUUGGUCGCAAAGGUCAUGCUGUUGGUGAUAUUCCUGGAGUCCGCUUUAAGAUUGUCAAAGUGGCCAAUGUGUCUCUUCUGGCCCUAUACAAAGGCAAGAAGGAAAGACCAAGAUCAUAAAUUUUAAUGGUGAACACACCGUAGUAAUAAAUUUUCAUAUGCCAAAAAAA